UACGUAGGGGGCAAGCGUUGUCCGGAAUUAUUGGGCGUAAAGAGCUCGUAGGCGGUCUGUCACGUCGGCUGUGAAAACCCGAGGCUCAACCUCGGGCCUGCAGUCGAUACGGGCAAACUAGAGUACUGCAGGGGAGACUGGAAUUCCUGGUGUAGCGGUGAAAUGCGCAGAUAUCAGGAGGAACACCGGUGGCGAAGGCGGGUCUCUGGGCAGUAACUGACGCUGAGGAGCGAAAGCGUGGGGAGCGAACAGG
rnacentral:rRNA from 1 species